rnacentral:tRNA from 1 species
GUAGCUCAGUCGGGUGAGCGCCCGCUUCUCAAUCAAGAGAUGCGGGUUCGAAUCCCGACGCUGACA